AUGCUGUAUACAUAGACUAUUUUAUUUAUUGUCUAAUUAAAGGAUAGCCUAAUAAGUAAAAUCAUUAAUGUUGUUCGUUACUAUACAUAUAUGCAUACAUAUAUAUAUAAAUAUACGCAGUAUAUAUAAAGACGUAAGAGUAUAACGCAUCUCCACUAGAAGCAAGUGGAUAAUUAUAAGUAGAAGAAGAGACAAACACAAAUAGAUGUGUAAGCAUGACUCUAUUGUAUCGAUGUGCAAUUAAGUUUCGGGGAUUGAAUCAAGGAUGUAAGAUAUUUUCGAGAAUCCUAGAAUAUUUUCACUUUCCAAGACAAUUUUCAUCUCAUAUUAGUAAUUCCUAAGGCAAUAAGAAAUAAGAAAAUGGAGAAGAUUUGUCAUUUAUUAAGUGUGUUUCUCAUUGACUUCAUUAAUAACUCGGAAAACAUUAGAAAAAUUGUUUCGCAAAUUAUUUUUUGCUUCUCUAAUCAUGCUAUUAAAACGUUAUUUAAUUUGGAAAAUGAUUUAUUAAAUUUGAUUGAUUUGAUUCAGGAGAAGAGAUCUGUUUAAUGUUUUUUGAACAGCUCAAUGAAAUGUUUUUAAUAUUUUUCCCAACACCAUUUUAACAUCAUAUAAAAAAGUACAUAAAAUUGAUAACAGAAACAUAAUCUCGAUCGGUUUUUUUCAAUUAUAUAUAUAUUGGACUCUAUUUAUUCCGUUAUUAUUUAAACAUUCAGAUGUGUAAUUUAAUGGCUUAUUAAUAUACAUUAAUAUACACACACGCAUGCAUAAACACACGCGUAAAUACAAUUACUUGUGUACGAGAGAGAGACUUUUUGCUCUACAUUUUUUUAUUAUAAUAUUUAUAUUUUUGUACUUUAUCAUACAUACACAAUUGCAUCUAUAUGGCAAUUAAAAAAAUCGCAUGUGUUGAAUUCUAGUCUUACGUUAUUGUUUUUAGACCAAUUAAAAGUUGGUUUUAGCUUGAUUUUAUUUUGGGCAACAUCGCAUUUCCGCGAAGGAAACCCUCGAUAUGCGUGUGAAUGAGCAAACAUUUAUGUAUACAUUUACUUGACUGAUUAUUUGACUAACGAAUUUUUAUCUCUCUCUCUUUUCAUGUCGUAGGAUCAGUAAUCGCCGAUUAAAUCAAGUGGUACUUGAUGUUUAUGUAUGAUGAUACGAACGAAAAGAAUUAAGUCCACGCGUAAAAUUGUCUAAAAUAUAUAAUUUUAACAAAUAAUAGAAAAGAUAAAAAAUUGCAUUAAUUUAAUGAUUUUUUUAUUCGGCAAAUUUCUGCUGUCGAGACAUGAAAUCUAAUGAUAAAAUGUAUAUAUAGAAUAGAAUAAUUAUCUUUCAAAUAGAACAUAUAAACUUCCUGUGCGAGAAAAAUUUUUCUUGAAAUUGAGACUUGGAUUAGUAUACUCGUUUUCCUGAAAGAAAGUUAUUAUUGAGAAAAAGAAGAAAAAAUAUUAAGGAAAAAGAAAUGGAACGAAUAGAAAAGCGCAAUAUAUAUGCGUAUGAGGGAGUUGUACUAGUGUAUGUGUAGAGAGCAGUGCAUAUUAUAAUAAUAAUGAUAAAAAAUCAAGUUCUUUCCUCGAUGUGAAUGAAAGAAGGCAUUUGAUUUCGAUUCUUUUCUCGAGUCAGGACCAUUAUAAUUAUUCAUACAAAACUAUCGUAUUUAGAGAUUUUGAGCUUAAUCAGAUUUUACGUUGAUAACGAAUUCUAGAAUAAUAAUUGCAAAUUCUAUAAUUGAUAAUGUUAACAAUAAAACAAUCAAACUGCGAUAUGUUGUUUAUCGAAACGUGUAGCUUAAACUUCAAGCGUUUAUUAGCAACCUUGUAUCACGACCAAAGCAGAUAUUCUUAAGAUUUGACAUAUCUUAUUGUUAAAGGAAAUCAAAUGCACUUUUUUCCUUUCGUAUCGCUCACUCUUUGUGCCUGAUUGUUAAUAAUGUUCAAGACUAAUGUUGAAGAAAGAUAUUCAAAUGACUGAUUUUACAACUUUUUAACUAUACAAGUAUAAGUUAUAUUCUCAAUUGUCGUUUCAAAAAUUUUAUAAACAAAAAUGAUAGAACUUUAUUAAAUUAUAAUUGGUAUUAAACUGAAGAUUUUGCGGUACAGAACGCGAAGAAAUUAAAUUACCUUAAAUCUUAGUUUGAUGUUUAUUUAUCAUAUUUUAUAAAAUAAAUAAGAAUAUUAGCGUUAUAUGUUCUUCUUAGAAACUUUGUAAGUUUUCAGAAUGUCAGUGUGUGAAUACUUUUCUCCAAAACUAGUCUCGUUUGUUUGCAAUUUCUUAUCUACUAUCUCUUAAUUAUCUAUCAAAAUCUUGAUUAAAAGAUGAUCAAUUUUCACCGGUCUUCGGAGAGUUUCGCGAGAGAUAAAUUAAAAAAAAAACUAUGAAAAUUCAAAUUUUCAUAUAAAAUAUAUAUAAUCGCGAAGUAAAAUUUGUAAGAUCGUCGAAUUAUUGAUUUUCGCUUUUCGUGGUAUCUAACUAGUAGAUAGUACAUAAUAAAAGAAUAGAUAAGAAAUAAAUAAGUGGAAUAAAACGGAACACAGAAUUGGGCCAAUCGAGCCGUAGUGCACGGCAUCGUUACUCGUCAAUUGUAUCUUUAGUCUCCGUAGAAUUUUUCUCGUAUUCCAAUUAUCGUCGUUAAUUAUUGGAAUAAAAUACAUUCAACUCAAUCCUAUAAUUAUUCCCGCUUCUCUCUCUCUCUCUCUCUCUCUCUCUCGUUCUUUCUCUUUUGCUAAUAUUGAAGAUAAGGGAUGUUAAUUACGCUUCGUUUUAUCUAUUAUCAUAUUUUUUCACUGAAAUAUAUGACAACCUAUUAUGCUUAUCCAAAGUUACCAAAUAUCUAAAAUCCAUUUUAGAGCCAAUAUUAACGUUUAUGGAAAAAUAUUACAAUAUGAAAGACAACUUAUUUUGCUUCAGAGGAAAUGUAUUUCAUGUGUUUUGUUCUUAUAUAUGUUUUGUUCUUACAUAUUCAAUGGAAAAUGAGACGGCAGAGAUAUCGAUAAGAAAUAAAUUUGCUUUGCUAUUUUAUCAUCAAAAUAUAUUUUUAUAAUAUUUUGCGAUUAUAAUAAACGACAAAAUAAACUACUCCAAAUAAAAUGAUAUGCGAAGAAAUUAUAUGAACGUUAUAAUAUAAUCGUGUUACAAUUACACGAUAAGUUAAAGAAUAAUCUACGAUGUGUACUGCGCGAUUCUUUAUUUGAAAUCUUUAAUCGAACAAUAUUGAGUUUUUGAUAUUUAUUAAUUAUCGCGCUCGUAAAAUGUAAUUGCCGUAAUUGACGUACGAGAUGUUCCUAAAAGUUGCGUAAACUAAAUUUUGAUGCAUUUAAAUAGAAAUACUACAAAGCUGAAUAUGUAGCUGCUCUAACAUUCUUCAAUUCUGAUUAAUAUUAUUUUUUGAAACUGCUUAUAUAUCGUAUUAUAGCGAUCGGAAAUUCUAGAUGAAAUUUCUUGAUAUUUCUCGUUUCUCGUAAACAUCGUAUGGAUCAGAUCAUCUCAUGUAUUGGGGUGAUUUUAUAUUUAUAAGAUUUCUUCUUUCCGUCUCUCGCCGUCCCUCUCUCACGAGUCAUUAAAUUAAAAUCGUUGAUCGUCAAGCGAAGAAAAAAAGAAGUCAAUCAUGAUGCUUGCGUCGAUUGUUAUUAGACUAAUAUUAAUUACACGAAAUUCGUUCGUAAUUUGAAUGCGAUGAUAUCUCGUAUACACGUACAGAUAUGCACAUAAUGUAUAUACAUAUCUGUAUUUAUAUAUACAUAAGAUUAUAAAAAAUGGAUCAUUCUGUAUAUAGCUGUUUGUAUUAAUCUGUAUGCAGAUGUGUAUAUAUAUAUAUAUAUAUAUAUAUAUAUAUAUAUAUAUAUAUGUAUAUUAUAUGCACAAGUACAUACAUAUAAAUGCAAACGAGAAUAAAAUUAUAUAAAUAAAAAAUAAAUGUAUUUACCUGAUACAUAUAUAUAUAUAUAUAUACAUAUAAGAAGAAGAAUAAAAAUAAUUAAUGCUCGCGGGCGAGUUACUAGCGCGAUGUUAUAAUAAUAUUAUCGAUAUGAUAUUACAUGAUGUAUUAUGCGCGCGGAGAGACGAAAUGUGCAUAAUUAUGUGUGCAAAGAGAUAUCCACGGUGUGGAAGUUUCACAUAUAUAUCGCAAGAGGUGUACUAAUUUGUUGCUAUUCAGUGACGGCGUAUUUAUUUUCACCUUGAUCGUCGGGAAUAUUUAUUUCGCAGCUAACGUGAGAAACGGAUUUAACCGCAAUCGUAUUCCACCACAAACAUAUUACGUCGCGAUCAGAAUAACUCGAUUUCAUAUUUUCUGACGUUGAGGAAAAAUAGAAUAAUAGAGAUUAAUGCAUACGAAAAAUCGAUAUUUUUGCGUCUUCCUAAUAACUUGAGUUUACUGUUUUCUAUUGCUCUCGUUUUUACCUAUGCAGUGAUGUAAAAUUAUAUUUUAAAAUAAAACAUUUAUAUUUUGUAAUAAAACUUUGGAUAUUUUUUUUCUAUAUUUUUUUCUACAUUUAAUAAUAUUGGAUAUUCAUACUUUUUGGUAUAUUUUGAAAAAAAAUGUAAAAUUCUAUGGUUAUUUUAUAAAUGUUAAGCUUAUAUUUAAUAUAAUAUUCUGAUCGCGCGCAAACGCACGAUCGAUCGAUGAGGAAGGAAAUGCAAAUUAGCUCUUUCAGCUUCUUUAUUAAGAGACUUCGUUUUCACAUAAACCUUUUGAUAUUAUCGAGUUUACCUAUAUACAUAUAAUAGAUGUUAUUAUGAGAUAGAAUCAAGGGUGUUAAAUGUGAAAAAGAAAAUUAUCAGAACUGCUUAUGUAAACGAUCAUCACGGCGCGCAUUAUACGGACUAUAAAUAGCAAUUGUAAUGCGGAGAACUCACCGUCACUGAAUAUAAACGAGAAAGAAAGUAUGUGUGUGUGUGUGUGUAUAUAUAUAAGUGUGUAUAUAUAUUUAUACACACAGAUAUAAAAUGCUAUCGAUAUAUAUCUAUCAUUCCAUUCGAUUCCAAGAUGUCGUAAAUAUAUAUAUUAUAGAUGCAUAAAUUUUAAAUAAUUCACGCGCGUGAUAGAUCGCCCGGCGAGUAACUCGCACAUAUGAUCGGUCAUUAGUCUUUUUGUAAAUAAGAAUGAAUGAAUUCAUAUAUGUGACUGUGUGUAUAUGUGUGAGUAUGUAUCAUUGCUCGCGCGCGCGCGCGCGCGCGUGGCUGCCUCCUACAUUAUAUUUACAAUGUCGACGAAUAAAGGAAAAACGAUUAUUCUGCCGAAA